rnacentral:rRNA from 1 species
GCAGUAGCCACGGGAACACAGAGGGUGCGAGCGUUAAUCGGAUUUACUGGGCGUAAAGCGUGCGUAGGCGGCUUUUUAAGUCGGAUGUGAAAUCCCUGAGCUUAACUUAGGAAUUGCAUUCGAUACUGGGAAGCUAGAGUAUGGGAGAGGAUGGUAGAAUUCCAGGUGUAGCGGUGAAAUGCGUAGAGAUCUGGAGGAAUACCGAUGGCGAAGGCAGCCAUCUGGCCUAAUACUGACGCUGAGGUACGAAAGCAUGGGGAGCAAACAGGAUUAGAUACCCCUGUAGUCCCUGUCUCUUAUAC